CUGCGGACUUAGAAAACUGAGCCUUAGUGGAGAAAUCUGCUAAGUGGAAGCUCUCAAACUCAGGGAAACCUAAGUCUUGGUUGGUUACUUGACCUUCUGAGAUAUGGCAAUCCUGAGCCAAGCCCUUCAAAAGGCGAAAAAUAGAGGGUAAAGUUCAUCCUUUAUCUUUUCGAUUUCAUCCUUUUGAAGGGAAGGUGCAGAGGCCCGACGGGAGCUACCCUAACGUCAAGUCGAGGGUAAAGGGAGGGUCCAAUCCUCAAAG
rnacentral:ncRNA from 1 species